UUCCCUGUGUUUCCUGAUCCUGCCCUGGGUCUGCAGUCAUAGUUCUGGAAACUUCUCUUGGGUCCAAGACUAGGAGGUUCCCCUAAGAUCGCAUGGCCCUGCCUCCUCCCUGUCCCCUCACAGGGCAUUUUCUUCCCACAGGUGGAAAAGGAGGGAGCUGCUCUCAGGCUGCGUGUAAGUGAUGGCAGUGGGCGUGUGGAGGAGCUCACCCACCCCAUAAUUCCUCUUGUCCCACAUCUCCUGCGGGCUCUGACCAGGUCUUUUUUUUUGUUCUACCCCAGCCAGCAACAGUGCCCAGGGCUCUGAUGAGUCUCUCAUCGCUUGUAAAGCCUGAGACAGCUGCCUGUGUGGGACUGAGAUGCAGGAUUUCUUCACACCUCUCCUUUGUGACUUCAAGAGCCUCUGGCAUCUCUUUCUGCAAAGGCAUCUGAAUGCGUCUGCGUUCCUGUUAGCAUAAUGUGAGGAGGUGGAGAGACAGCCCACCCCCGUGUCCACCGUGACCCCUGUCCCCACACUGACCUGUGUUCCCUCCCCGAUCAUCUUUCCUGUUCCAGAGAAGUGGGCUGGAUGUCUCCAUCUCUGUCUCAACUUUACGUGUACUGAGCUGCAACUUCUUACUUCCCUACUGAAAAUAAGAAUCUGAAUAUAAAUUUGUUUUCUCAAAUAUUUGCUAUGAGAGGUUGAUGGAUUAAUUAAAUAAGUCAAUCCCUGGAAGUUGAGAGAGCAAAUAAAGACCUGAGAACCUUCCAGAA
rnacentral:lncRNA from 1 species